GAGGGUAUAGCUCAGUGGUAGAGCACAUGCUUAGCAUGUGCUUAGCAUGCACGAGGCCCUGGGUUCAGUCCCCAGUACUUCCA
rnacentral:tRNA from 1 species